GCCGAGGUAGCUCAGUGGUAGAGCGAAGGACUGAAAAUCCUUGCGUCGCCAGUUCAAUCCUGGCCCUCGGCACCA
rnacentral:tRNA from 2 species